UGGGGAAUAUUGGACAAUGGGCGCAAGCCUGAUCCAGCCAUGCCGCGUGUGUGAAGAAGGCCUUUUGGUUGUAAAGCACUUUAAGCGAGGAGGAGGCUACUUGGAUUAAUACUCUAGGAUAGUGGACGUUACUCGCAGAAUAAGCACCGGCUAACUCUGUGCCAGCAGCAGCGGUAAUACAGAGGGUGCGAGCGUUAAUCGGAUUUACUGGGCGUAAAGCGUGCGUAGGCGGCUUUUUAAGUCGGAUGUGAAAUCCCUGAGCUUAACUUAGGAAUUGCAUUCGAUACUGGGAAGCUAGAGUAUGGGAGAGGAUGGUAGAAUUCCAGGUGUAGCGGUGAAAUGCGUAGAGAUCUGGAGGAAUACCGAUGGCGAAGGCAGCCAUCUGGCCUAAUACUGACGCUGAGGUACGAAAGCAUGGGGAGCAAACAGG
rnacentral:rRNA from 1 species